AAGGUUUUAAGUUAAAAAAACUAGUAGCCUUCAAAGUUUCCUA
rnacentral:tRNA from 1 species